AUGACCUCCCCUAAUCCCUCUUCACCUAUUAGCCUUUCCUCAAGUCACAUGCAAUGAGGGCAGAAUGUAUGAAACUGGAUGGGAGGGAAAACUGGAUUUAGGUGGGGGACGGGGUCCCACAACCCUCUCCACUCCUUUUAUAAAUGAAGGCAGUCGACAAGCCCAGCUGGGACCAUCCCUUGCAAGGAGGCACCGCUGACCUCAUGAAGAUGGUGACAACCUGGAGCAGAUGGUAUUGCAGAACAGAAUCACACACACUCUCAUCAGAGAUACACUGUACCUAUUGGCCCUUGGAGCACUGUGGGUCUUGCUGUAGAGGACACAUGCAACGGGGGUCCUGUAUUGCCCAGGCUCGCCUGGAACUCCUGGGUUCAACUGAUCCUCUCCAAUUACUGAGGCUCCAGCACAUGCCAUCUGAAUCACUAUUCCAGCCUCAUGCACUUCCCCUAUCUGUGCACUUCUCAGGAGACAACUGUGGAUUUAACAGUGGCUGACUGCACCAAGAUUCCAUGAUGCUGGAACAAAAGGAUGCCCUACAUAAACUAGGACUGGUAGAAGAUAUUUAACUCACUUCCGUAGGCACUAGGAAAGGUCAGGCUCCAACCUGUAAUUAAACCAGAGAAUUGUUACACCAGCUUGGACAGCCUGGAGAUUCCAGCUAACCGUGUCUAUUAUUGAAGCCCAUGUUUAUUGUUAACUUUUUGUUUUCUUUAGAUGAGAUCCCAGGUAGUCCCAGACACCCUGAAUUCCUGGACCUCCUCUACCUCCCAAUGCCAGGAUUACAAGGAUGUCUCACCAUGCCCAACUGAAACAUUAAGUUUAUAUACAACUCCUUCCAAUGCCAAGUCAUCUUUUGUAAGACAACCAAACUCUAUUACGGAUUACUUUUUGUGUAAGUGGGGAUGUGAGAGGAGCACAUGCCGUGUAACAAACGUGGAGGCCAGAAGACAAGUUGUGGGGAGAAUCUUUUCCUUCCAGAACUUGGGACUUCAGAAACUGAACUCAGGACUUUGGGCCUGGUGGUAGGUACACUCAACCAGCCACCAAGCCAUCUCACUGGCCCGUCGACUUUAAUCUUUUGACUUCUACCCACAUUAUGCCCUCGGGAUUUCCCAUCCUUUGAUAGCUCAAGACAUUCAGACAAUUGACAUCUAUGAAGGUGUUAUUUUUUUUUAUUUAUAUGUAUUUGUAGCUCUAUCCUGAACUUACUCUGUAGACCAAGCUGGCUUUGAACUCUGCCUUUUGAGAUCUGCCUGUCUGCUUCCUAAGUUUCUUUAAAGGUGUGUACCACUUGACAAAAUAUGCCCUAUGACGACAGGGUGUUAUGUACUGGCUGGUUUUGUGUCAACUUGACAGAGGCUGGAGUUAUCACAAAGAAAGGAGCUUCAGAUGGCCCCAUCUGGACUCUUCAACCCAAGGGGGCAGGCAGCCUGCUCAGUCUUUUAAGCGAUCGACUUAACUCACCAGGACA